rnacentral:misc_RNA from 1 species
AAUGUCGUAACAAGGUCUCCGUAGGUGAACCUGCGGAGGGCAUCAUUACAGAGUUCAUGCCCGUAACCGGGUUAGAUCUCCCAACCCUAUGUUAUUAUUACUAUGUUGCUUUGGCCGGGCCGUUAGGCUCACGCUCAACUACCGGCUUCGGCUGGUAAGCGCCCGGCCAAGAGGACCCCUAAAGCCCUGAAUAUUAAUGUCGUCUGAGUACUAUAUAAUAGUUAAAACCG